rnacentral:rRNA from 1 species
GAUGAACGCUGGCGGCGUGCCUAACACAUGCAAGUCGAGCGGAAAUAUUCAGAAGUAUACGUACGGAUGGAUAUUUUAGCGGCGGACGGGUGAGUAACACGUGAGCAACCUACCUUUUGCUGGGGAAUAACAUCGGGAAACCGAUGCUAAUACCGCAUGACAUUCCGAUGGGGCAUCCUGUUGGAAUCAAAGGAGAGAUCCGGCAAGAGAUGGGCUCGCGUCCGAUUAGCUGGUUGGUGAGGUAACGGCUCACCAAGGCGACGAUCGGUAGCCGGACUGAGAGGUUGGACGGCCACAUUGGGACUGAGACACGGCCCAGACUCCUACGGGAGGCAGCAGUGGGGAAUAUUGGGCAAUGGGGGAAACCCUGACCCAGCAACGCCGCGUGAAGGACGAAGGCCUUCGGGUUGUAAACUUCUUUGAUCAGGACGAAAGCGAUGACGGUACCUGAGGAACAAGCCACGGCUAACUACGUGCCAGCAGCCGCGGUAAUCA